rnacentral:rRNA from 1 species
AAUGAACGUUGGCGGCAUGGAUUAGGCAUGCAAGUCGCGCGAGAAGUCAUGAUUAGCUUGCUAUGAAUUGACGGACAGCGGCGAAAGGGAGAGUAACGUGUGGUUACAUGCCUUGGGGACCAGGAUAGUAGCGGGAAACUGCUAGUAAUACUGGAUAAUAUCUACGGAUCAAAUGGUGUGAUUCCGCCCUGAGAUUGGACCGCAUACUAUUAGCUUGUUGGCGGGGUAAUGGCCCACCAAGGCUUCGAUGGUUACCGGGUGUGAGAGCAUGGCCCGGCUCACUGGGACUGAGACACUGCCCAGACACCUACGGGUGGCUGCAGUCGAGAAUCUUUGUCAAUGGGCGAAAGCCUGAACAAGCGAUGCCGCGUGCGGGAUGAAGGCCCUCGGGUUGUAAACCGCUGUCAGUUGUUAGGAAAUGCUAUAGGGCACUCUCUAUAGUUUGACCGAUCAUCAGAGGAAGGACGGGCUAAGUUCG